rnacentral:rRNA from 1 species
GACGAACGCUGGCGGCGUGCUUAACACAUGCAAGUCGAACGGAAAGGCCCUGCUUGCAGGGUACUCGAGUGGCGAACGGGUGAGUAACACGUGGGUGAUCUGCCCUGCACUUCGGGAUAAGCCUGGGAAACUGGGUCUAAUACCGGAUAGGAGCCAUUUUUAGGGUGAUGGUUGGAAAGUUUUUUCGGUGUAGGAUGAGCUCGCGGCCUAUCAGCUUGUUGGUGGGGUAAUGGCCUACCAAGGCGGCGACGGGUAGCCGGCCUGAGAGGGUGGACGGCCACAUUGGGACUGAGAUACGGCCCAGACGCCUACGGGAGGCAGCAGUGGGGAAUAUUGCACAAUGGGCGCAAGCCUGAUGCAGCGACGCCGCGUGGGGGAUGACGGCCUUCGGGUUGUAAACUCCUUUCGCUAGGGACGAAGCUUUUUGUGACGGUACCUAGAUAAGAAGCACCGGCUAACUACGUG